CCAACCUUGAAAUACCACCCUUUAAUGUUUGAUGUUCUAACGUUGGCCCCUGACCGGGGUUGCGGACAGUGUCUGGUGGGUAGUUUGACUGGGGCGGUCUCCUCCCAAAGCGUAACGGAGGAGCACGAAGGUUAGCUAAUCCUGGUCGGACAUCAGGAGGUUAGUGCAAUGGCAUAAGCUAGCUUGACUGCGAGCGUGACGGCGCGAGCAGGUGCGAAAGCAGGUCAUAGUGAUCCGGUGGUUCUGAAUGGAAGGGCCAUCGCUCAACGGAUAAAAGGUACUCCGGGGAUAACAGGCUGAUACCGCCCAAGAGUUCAUAUCGACGGCGGUGUUUGGCACCUCGAUGUCGGCUCAUCACAUCCUGGGGCUGAAGUAGGUCCCAAGGGUAUGGCUGUUCGCCAUUUAAAGUGGUACGCGAGCUGGGUUUAGAACGUCGUGAGACAGUUCGGUCCCUAUCUGCCGUGGGCGCUGGAGAAUUGAGGGGGGCUGCUCCUAGUACGAGAGGACCGGAGUGGACGCAUCACUGGUGUUCGGGUUGUCAUGCCAAUGGCACUGCCCGGUAGCUAAAUGCGGAAGAGAUAAGUGCUGAAAGCAUCUAAGCACGAAACUUGCCCCGAGAUGAGUUCUCCCUGAGACUU
rnacentral:rRNA from 1 species